AGAUUGAACGCUGGCGGCGUGCCUAACACAUGCAAGUCGAGCGGUAACAGGUGUAGCAAUACAUGCUGACGAGCGGCGAACGGGUGAGUAAUGCUUUGGAAUCUUCCCAGUAGUGGGGAAUAACCAGUCGAAAGAUUGGCUAAUACCGCAUACGUCUGUAAAGGGAAAGCGGGGGCUCGUAAGACCUCGCGCUAUUGGAUGAGCCAAAGUCGGAUUAGCUAGUUGGUGGGGUAAUGGCCUACCAAGGCGACAAUCCGUAGCUGGUCUGAGAGGACGACCAGCCACACCGGAACUGAGACACGGUCCGGACUCCUACGGGAGGCAGCAGUGGGGAAUAUUGGACAAUGGGGGAAACCCUGAUCCAGCGACGCCGCGUGUGUGAAGAAGGCCUGCGGGUUGUAAAGCACUUUUAGUGGGGACAAAAGUCACGGGCGAAUACCCUGUGAUCUUGAUUUAACCCAAGAAAAGCACCGGCUAACUCUGUGCCAGCAGCCGC
rnacentral:rRNA from 1 species